CUGUGAGAAUGUGUAUAGGGUAUAAGCAGGCAGGGAAAGUGUUAAGUUCUCAGUUUGUGAAACAAGAGGUUCAGCUGAGCAUGACUCAGAUCAGAUAAGAACUUACACUUAGCAAUGGGGUGCUGGAG